rnacentral:rRNA from 1 species
UACGAGGGGUCCAAGCGUUGUUCGGAAUCACUGGGCGUAAAGCGGGUGUAGGUGGCUCUAUAAGUCACAUGUGAAAGCCCCGGGCUCAACCCGGGAAGUGCAUGUGAUACUGCAGAGCUUGAGUACGGGAGAGGAUGGCAGAAUUCCUGGUGUAGUGGUGAAAUACGUAGAUAUCAGGAGGAACUCCGGUGGCGAAGGCGGCCAUCUGGCCCAGGACUGACACUCAGACCCGAAAGCGUGGGUAGCAAACAGG